rnacentral:rRNA from 1 species
AUACGGAGGGGGCUAGCGUUGUUCGGAAUUACUGGGCGUAAAGCGCACGUAGGCGGAUUAAAAAGUUAGAGGUGAAAUCCCAGGGCUUAACCCUGGAACUGCCUUUAAAACUAGUAGUCUAGAGUUCGAGAGAGGUGAGUGGAAUUCCAAGUGUAGAGGUGAAAUUCGUAGAUAUUUGGAGGAACACCAGUGGCGAAGGCGGCUCACUGGCUCGAUACUGACGCUGAGGUGCGAAAGCGUGGGGAGCAAACAGAAUUAGAAACCCCGGUAGUCC